rnacentral:rRNA from 1 species
GAUGAACGCUGGCGGCGUGCCUAAUACAUGCAAGUCGAGCGAACAGACGAGGAGCUUGCUCCUCUGACGUUAGCGGCGGACGGGUGAGUAACACGUGGAUAACCUACCUAUAAGACUGGGAUAACUUCGGGAAACCGGAGCUAAUACCGGAUAAUAUAUUGAACCGCAUGGUUCAAUAGUGAAAGACGGUUUUGCUGUCACUUAUAGAUGGAUCCGCGCCGCAUUAGCUAGUUGGUAAGGUAACGGCUUACCAAGGCAACGAUGCGUAGCCGACCUGAGAGGGUGAUCGGCCACACUGGAACUGAGACACGGUCCAGACUCCUACGGGAGGCAGCAGUAGGGAAUCUUCCGCAAUGGGCGAAAGCUUGACGGAGCAACGCCGCGGGAGUGAUGAAGGUCUGCGGAUCGUAAAACUCUGUUAUUAGGGAAGAACAAAUGUGUAAGUAACUAUGCACGUCUUGACGGUACCUAAUCAGAAAGCCACGGCUAACUAC